AAUUAGAGAGAACACUGCUUGGGAAACCUUUGGUACCUUCAUGGAGCCAUUGAGAGCCUUUAAGUGCCAUUGCUUUUGAGGCCAGAGCUUUUGGAACCUUUUUGUCCAUUUCUGUGGAGCCUUCGCAAGCUUGUUGGAGCCCUUUGGAGCCUUUUCUCUGCCAUUCCUGGGGAGCUUCUUGGAGGAACUUCUUGCAGCACUGUGCAGCCCUGUCAAAAUGAGCAAGUGGACAGCAGAGAGCUCUGCUGAGGCGAGUGACAAAAGAUCUCGCAAACUAUUGCCCUUGAGCAAGAAGGUGAAGCUAUUGGACAUGCUAGCUCAUGGGGUCAGCGCGGAAUCCACUGCAUGCCAUUACAGCAUCAACAAGUCCACUGUCAGCUCCAUAAUGAAAGCCAAAGCCAGUAUCUCUGCAAGUGUGGUGUGUAGCAUGUCAGAGUCUCAAGGUGGUGUCCAUCUAAAUGAUCCCCACAUGGAACGGAUGGAAAAGGCCCUCAACCUGUGGAUAGAAGACCAAAUCCAGGGGAAUGUGCCACUGAGAGGAUCAGUAAUCUGCGAAAAAGUGCUGCAGUGCUACAGGCAGUUUGAGAAAGAAGGCAGUCAAACAGUAGGAACACCUGAAGGCACUGAGUGUGGUUUCCAGGUGCUGAAAAAAGGAUAAAAUGAAGACAGGCCACAUCUGGAGGCUCAUAUUCUGAUAGAAUACAACACAUUAGCAGACAAAAAGG